AGAGUUUGAUCCUGGCUCAGGAUGAACGCUAGCGGCAGGCCUAACACAUGCAAGUCGAGGGGCAGCACGUCUUCGGAUGGUGGCGACCGGCGCACGGGUGAGUAACGCGUAUGCAACCUACCCUAUUCUGGGGGAUAGCCCGAAGAAAUUCGGAUUAAUACCCCAUGGUACUGAGCUGUGGCAUCACAGCUUAGUUAAAGGUUACGGAAUAGGAUGGGCAUGCGUCCCAUUAGCUUGUUGGUAAGGUAACGGCUUACCAAGGCAACGAUGGGUAGGGGUCCUGAGAGGGAGAUCCCCCACACUGGUACUGAGACACGGACCAGACUCCUACGGGAGGCAGCAGUGAGGAAUAUUGGACAAUGGGCGCAAGCCUGAUCCAGCCAUGCCGCGUGCAGGAUGACGGUCCUAUGGAUUGUAAACUGCUUUUGUACAGGAAGAAACACUCCCUCGUGAGGGAGCUUGACGGUACUGUAAGAAUAAGGAUCGGCUAACUCCGUGCCAGCAGCCGCGGUAAUACGGAGGAUCCAAGCGUUAUCCGGAAUCCUUGGGUUUAAAGGGUCC
rnacentral:rRNA from 1 species